ACAUCGAUGGUUCUGAAACAUCGACCAUCGAUGUCCAUCCCUACUCUAAAGUGUCCAGACCUACCAACCAUGAGGAAGAGCAAUAGUAAUCUUUUCUGAGCGCGAAGUGAGCUCUCAGUGCUGCUUCAUUGUAGCUGCUGUUUGCUUUUGAUGACCGUUCCUUUUCUUCUAUCAUGGGAGAAAUGGAGGAAGAGAUUACAAGCUGAGUGGU